CCUGAAAACCGACCUGACCCGGACCUGUUGGGACCGGACCUAACCCGGACCUGUAGAUUAAGGUCCAGUCCCGGUCCUUGAAAAUCAAGGUUUCCGGUCCCGGUCCGGAUCAGGUCCAAACUCGGGGUUUUCAGGUCUGGACCUGAAACCUGUUAAAAAUGCGUUUUUUAUAUAAAAAAAAAAUUCCCAAAUUUCAAAAGAAGUCAGUUUCAUUUUUGUUAACACACUAACCCUAACUCACUCCUCACUCACUCUCUCUCUCUCUCUCAGCCGACAAGCACACACAGCAACACCCACUCCCUCCUGACCACCGCACAGGCGCCCAGACACAAGUCGGAAGUCGCCACUGCCCACCAGACAUCCAGACCAGCAGCGACUACACGCUGUACAUCCUGUAGUGACGAGUAGACGACUACACCCUGCAUCUGCAUCUCACUAUUGUGUAUAAUUAUAUUGAAGAUGGAGAGCUCUCAAUCAAAAAGAUCUGCUGCUUUUUCUCAAGAAAUGUCACAGCCACUUUCUGAAAAGGAUAUGGAAGAAUUGCAAUCUACUUUGCUUCCAGAUAAGAAGUUAAAAGCGGGGCGGGAAUAUAUAUGGAACAGAAAAAGUAAGAGGAUAUGGAAGAAAAUUUGAAAGAGUUACAAGAAAUGGAGAAAGGUAGUAUUAAUUUUAUGUACUUGUAAUUUUGUUACACCAAAUUUAUUAUUUCAUUGUUAUCAUUCAUUAAUAUAUUCUAUAAUGUUUUUUUAUUUAGAGGUGCAACAUGAUGUAUCUAAUGAUGGAGACGAUGAAGUUGUUUUCGUUGACUCAUUAGUGUGAAUCACGCAAUCAAAGGGAAAGCAACUCGCCAAAAUUCAAGUUGUCUUUGGAUAAUUUAUGUAUUUCUAGUAUUUGAGACUUAGAGAAUUUAUGUAAUUUAAUGAAUUAUUUGUUAUAUUUGAGACUUAUAGAUUUUAUGUA